rnacentral:rRNA from 1 species
GACGAACGCUGGCGGCGUGCUUAACACAUGCAAGUCGAACGGAAAGGCCCUGCUUUUGUGGGGUGCUCGAGUGGCGAACGGGUGAGUGACACGUGAGUAACCUGCCCUUGACUUUGGGAUAACUUCAGGAAACUGGGGCUAAUACCGGAUAGGAGCUCCUGCUGCAUGGUGGGGGUUGGAAAGUUUCGGCGGGUGGGGAUGGACUCGCGGCUUAUCAGCUUGUUGGUGGGGUAGUGGCUUACCAAGGCUUUGACGGAUAGCCGGCCUGAGAGGGUGACCGGCCACAUGGGGACUGAGAGACGGCCCAGACGCCUACGGGAGGCAGCAGUGGGGAAUAUUGCACAAUGGGCGGAAGCCUGAUGCAGCAACGCCGCGGGCGGGAUGACGGCCUUCGGGGUGUAAACCGCUUUCGCCUGUGACGAAGCGUGAGUGACGGUAAUGGGUAAAGAAGCACCGGCUAACUACGUG